rnacentral:lncRNA from 1 species
UGUACCUUGUGGAAUGAUCAUCACAAUCAAGCCAGUGAACAUAUCCAUCUCUUCAUCUAGUCAUCUUCUAUUUUUUGGGAGAGGGAUGUCUGCAGUCUGCUUUCCCCUCAAGAAUCAAAGACUAGUGCCACAGCAGGGGUCACAGGAGACUCAGCCAGAAGAAAGCCCUGAGGUGUCCUUGUUCUCACCGUGGCUGAUUCCAAGCUACCAACGCGGUUUCACCAAAGGCGGAGCUGGGAAGAAAUGCACAGUGGCCCACUGUUGUCAUAGAGCAUUUUCGCUGUGUAGAUAA